GACGAACGCUGGCGGCGUGCUUAACACAUGCAAGUCGAACGGAAAGGCCCUGCUUUUGUGGGGUGCUCGAGUGGCGAACGGGUGAGUAACACGUGAGUAACCUGCCCUUGACUUUGGGAUAACUUCAGGAAACUGGGGCUAAUACCGGAUAGGAGCUCCUGCUGCAUGGUGGGGGUUGGAAAGUUUCGGCGGUUGGGGAUGGACUCGCGGCUUAUCAGCUUGUUGGUGGGGAAGUGGCUUACCAAGGCUUUGACGGGUAGCCGGCCUGAGAGGGUGACCGGCCACAUUGGGACUGAGAUACGGCCCAGACUCCUACGGGAGGCAGCAGUGGGGAAUAUUACACAAUGGGCGGAAGCCUGAUGCAGCAACGCCGCGUGCGGGAUGACGGCCUUCGGGUUGUAAACCGCUUUCGCCUGUGACGAAGCGUGAGUGACGGUAAUGGGUAAAGAAGCACCGGCUAACUACGUG
rnacentral:rRNA from 1 species